rnacentral:rRNA from 1 species
ACGAACGCUGGCGGCGUGCUUAACACAUGCAAGUCGAACGGAAAGGCCCUGCUUUUGUGGGGUGCUCGAGUGGCGAACGGGUGAGUAACACGUGAGUAACCUGCCCUAGACUUUGGGAUAACUUCAGGAAACUGGGGCUAAUACCGGAUAGGAGCUCCUGCUGCAUGGUGGGGGUUGGAAAGUUUCGGCGGUUGGGGAUGGACUCGCGGCUUAUCAGCUUGUUGGUGGGGUAGUGGCUUACCAAGGCUUUGACGGGUAGCCGGCCUGAGAGGGUGACCGGCCACAUUGGGACUGAGAUACGGCCCAGACUCCUACGGGAGGCAGCAGUGGGGAAUAUUGCACAAUGGGCGGAAGCCUGAUGCAGCAACGCCGCGUGCGGGAUGACGGCCUUCGGGUUGUAAACCGCUUUCGCCUGUGACGAAGCGUGAGUGACGGUAAUGGGUAAAGAAGCACCGGCUAACUACGUG